rnacentral:rRNA from 1 species
AAAAGUACUUUGAAAAGAGAGUGCAAGAGAACGUGAAACCGUCAUAAUGGAAGCAUAUGGAGUUGACGUAUCUAAGAAUGUGUUCAGAUUAAUAGCAAUAUUAAUUGCAUUCGCAUUUGGAGUGUGCUGAAUAAUACGAUGGUAAUAGUUGAGGUUAGUUUAGAGGCCAUCUUUUUUGAUGAAACCUGAAUUAUUUCGGAGACUAUUUACUGUUGUAUUUUUAAUAUUAUUGGUUCUUCGAGUUUAACAAGUAUGUUUGAAUUGAUGUAUACUGUUUGCAUGCAAAUGGUUUAUGACGAUUUCGACGUAUUGGUUGAAUUCACAAUAAUAUAUUCGGUAUCAUAGUCAAUGACCCAUUUGACCCGUCUUGAAACACGGACCAAGGAGUGUAACGUAAGCGCGAGUUAUUGAGUUUACAAAACUCAAAAGCAGAAUGAAAGUGAGAUAUUUGAUUAUCAUAUAAUCAAUUGUAGCAUAUAAUGUUGCAAUACAAUUAUGGCUCAUGUUGAAGAUUUAUCUUGAUGUGACGCUUGAGCGUUUGCGUUGCGACCCGAAAGAUGGUGAACUGUGAUUGAACAGGAUGAAGUCAGAGGAAACUCUGAUGGAAGUCCGAAGCGGUUCUGACGUGCAAAUCGAUCGUCUGAUUUGAUUACAGGGGCGAAAGACUAAUCGAACCAUC